rnacentral:lncRNA from 1 species
AGGUCUACCCUUUAGUCCCGGUUCAAGACACCAACCGGGACUAAAUCCUCCAAACCCUUUAGUCCCGGUUCGAGACACGAACCAGGACUAAAGGUCCAAGACACGAACUGGGACUAAAUCCUCCAAACCCUUUAGUCCCGGUUCGAGACACGAACUGGGACUAAAGGUUCCAUUUGAACCGGGACUAAUGCCCGACCGGCGCCUUUGCCGCUUGAACCGAGACUAAUACUAACAUUAGUUCCGGUUCGUAAAGGAACCGGGACUAAUGUGUUUUUCGAACUGGGACGAAAGCCCUUAUUUCUACUAGUGGCAUGUGUAACUAUCCGGGCCACCAGGUCGUUGGCAGUACUUAGGAUGGAGGCUUUAGGAACAACAACGACAAUGUCUUCACUGUCAUGAUGGGACGGAUGGCAGGACCAGAAAAUAUGAGUAGGGUUUCACGUUUGGGGCUUUAUAUUUUCAGUAUCUCCUAGCUAGUUUCAACCUUCAGGGUACUAAUUAAUAUGAGUAGGGUUUCACGUUGGGUCGCGGGUGAACUUGUAAGCAACGGUAACUGUGAGUUAUAAAGCACCAGAAAAUUACGAAAGCAACAAACAGAACUACAAGGCACAGAGUAGUUGUUGUGUUCAUGUGCGAGUGCGUGUUGUGUUCAUGGUUUCGAUCCAUCUUUGCGUGAAGGCCGACAAGAUUCCGACUGGUGCAGCUAGUACUGGGUUGAGGACUAGUGGCUAUGUACACGUUUCAGAGCAACAUCCAUUCAACCAUGAUAUAUUUCUGUGUAGCGUUGACACAGAGUGUAGUACACAUUCUUUCUAGGAAAAAGUAUUAGUACACAUUCGCGUCACUAGUAUUAGCCGCACUUGUAUAUCACUAUUAUAAUUAUCCAUAGAUUUAUAAGGCAAAUAAUUAUGCAUAGAUGAAUUUAGUUGUCCAUCAUCUAGGAGUAUCUCUAGCCGGCCCUUUAUCCUAAAAGUCCAAAACUUUCUUCAUACGCAUUUCUCCCUUUUUUUUGGAAAUCACUAUUGUUCAUCAAGCAAAUCUCCUAUCCUAAAAAGUUUAUUUGCCAAAUCUUCAAAAUGCCAGUUGAAAUAUUUGUAACAAAUUGAUCACAUUUCAAUAAACACAUAGGCAAUUUGAAAGCAUCACCUCAUAAUUCAGCUACGAGCAUAAAUAUAGUUCACCGAAUCCAUCAAAUAUAAUCAUAAUUUGUGCCAAAAGGCACCAGAUAGGCAAAUUCAUUCAAAAAAAGCACCAACGCACGGUGAAUAAAAAGCCAUCAUAGUUCACAUGUGCCUCAUGCACUUUUGCCAGUGCAUUGUCGCCGCCUACAUAACUACUGUUGUCACCGUUACACGAGGUCGUGUAGUAUUUUCUUUUUGAAAUGGAGGUAAAUUUUUUGCCUCAUAUAAUAAAUACAGAGGAGCAAGAGUUUGUUACAACACAACCAAGAUAUGGCAUGACAAUUAUUCUCGUAAUAAUAAAGACCCUAGCUUCUUAGUCCCUGCUUUGAUCCAAAGGUUGGCCUCGUUGACGAUUCUAUUGAACAGACCAUGUAGUAUUCGCUGCCACCACGGGAGAUCGAGUGGAAAGCGUCCAGGAAGCAACAUCCCUUUUUUUCUUAACCCCCCACUGCCGUGUUGUCCACCACCUUGGCCGACGACCGAUGGUCCGUUUUGCGAGUUGGCUUGGGCAAAGGAGGUAAUCAUUUGCUUUGAUGUCUAUUACUUAGAGAUUAUGUAUAAGGUAUGAGCAUCAGCUCUCACUAUGUCAUAUUAUACUAUACAGGUAACCCACCUUAGUACACACUAGAUCAAUAAUGGUGCGCGUUGCCGCACCCGUCUAUUUAUACAAUAAAAAUAAUAGGAUUUUUCUUAAAUAGAUGACUACAUGAGGCACAGUAACUUUCGAUAAACAUAACUAAAUAUUAGCCAGUGUCGAAGGAAAUCUCAUAUAUAAUCAUUAAAAGAAAGGUGUACACAUAGAAAUAUGAUUGGUAUGACCAAAUACACUAUUUAGUUAUAGUAAAUAUAAAUAACCAAUUCUACCAAGACAAAUGAUAAGCAGCGGAUUGUUUACAUGGAACAUUCAUGAAAUCUUCACAUGCAUCUCCAAAGAAGCCACCAUGUUUGGAAACAGAAAAGAAUAGGCGAGCCUGAUGCAAUAUAUCAUUUCUUAGCGGAACUGCAAUCCAGAUAGAAAACUCUAUAAACCCUGAGUGACAAGUAUUAAAAAAAGGAAAGCAUGUAAAGUUCUCGCCUGAGCUUGCAUGUCACUCUAGUCAACAUGAUUUAAGAUAUUUUGUUUCAGCAAAUACAUAAUUGAUAAGAUAAGGACAAGUUUUGAUAACAGAAAAAAAAAUCAGAAAAUCAUACUCGUACAAGCAAUUGUUAGAUACUUCAUGUUUGCUUCGCGACAUUGAUGGAAAAAAUGCAUCGUACAUCACCUAUCAUGUGACAUGAUAGAAAUUCAGGGACCACGUCAUUAUAAAUCAAUAGGCAGGAAAUUAUAUAUAAAGUAUGACACAAUGCUCACACUCAACAUCUUAUUUUCCAACUCAAGAUAGAAAACCAAGUCCAGGAAACACCAUAUGUAUGCUCAUUAUUCCUCAAUUAAAACAACAUUUUCUCAGAAAACUGGAAAUUACAUGGAUAAUGUACCACACUCUUCAAUAUUAUUGUUGUUACGAAGAGAUAAUAUGCUCCUUAUAGUCCCAUCCAUACUACUUAGAGCAAGUACAAUAGGAUGACGUAGGCGGGCUGUGAUAAAUUGGAAAAGAAAGAAGAAAAAAGAGAAGAGAAACGGGCUAUAAACUAAUAGCCGGCUGUAACACGUGCUAAUAGACACUUUGUGAAAGAGGAUGAUGGCGACCGAAGCAUCGAGGACGGGUACGACAGUGAAAAAACCAAGAGCUGCCGAGGGCCAGCGAGAUGGCCUCGUCCCGCAUCUGUAACACCAUAAAAAACUCAAUGUCUGAACAAAAGAAAAGAAAGGCUGGAUUUGUGAUGCAGAUUCGAGAAGAUACAUACAAGACGAUUAAGGUGCCGGUUAUGAACAUCACCAAGGACGUUCCUGCCGCCUCAGUGCACGCACACAACCUGAGGCUCGUGUCUCCACCGCCGCGCGCUAACCCGCAUCUGCUCUUCAGCCAGCAAAUUUGUGAGCGUUAAUACGCCAUUCUGCCCUGUCAAAUGACAAUAUAUUUCUGAUCAUUUAAGAUUCUGGCUACAAUAGGAGGAAGACGUAGGUGGCAGGAGAAGCAUAUGCCCCUGACCGUUGUGUAGACAACUAUGUACAUGCAUAUACAAUACAUAUAAUUAUUAGAAUUGCCAGCUGAAUAGAAAAUUCAGUUUGAAUUUCAUGUCGACAUAAAAUCCUAAUGUAUUAAGAUUAAGAAAAUUCUAUUUACCAAAUCUAAUAAACACAAUGGCUAGAACAAAGAAUAGUUGUAUCUACAUAAAAUUAUAAAAUGCACACGAACAGGUCCACAAGAACAGAGUCAACCAAAGGGUUUAAUCCGCAACCUCACCAUCAUCCUGAGAUCGUUGCUAUCCAUCUGGUGGCAAAUCCAUCAGCGCUAUGGAGUACGACUAUAGAAAAUAUUGAGUCAGUCAGUCAGAUCAAGGUUUCAAGAGAAUCCAUUCAUGGAGCAAGGGAGGGGGAGCAGACCAGUAACAGGGGAAGGAGCAGAGUGGUCCAGGCCGCCGUCGCCAUGGGAUGUGAGUCCUCCCCGCAUCUGGGAAGGUGCAGCGAUCCCACAUUGGAGCGUGGCAGCGCUCGUGGCUAGGGCAAAGAGGAGGGCCGGCGCAUGGAGGAGCGACUGGAGGCAGCGAAAUUGGUGGGAAGCGGCGUCGGCGCCGAAGAAAGGGGUCGACGGGGUCGUGCCCUCGUGGGAGAUCGAGGUUCGCCGGCUUGGAUGACGAGGAAGGCGACGCGACUCGUGGAGAUGUUCUUUUAGGUGUGGCUCCUGGAGUCCUGGAGGAGUGGUGGUGGCCUGGGUUGUAUUUGGUUAGUGAUCUGGGCUGCGAGACGUGGCCCAAUUUACCAGAGGGCUCAGUUUUGGCUACUGGAGUAGCAUCCCCUAGGACAGUUGGGCCACUAAUCUUUAUAGUUAGCCCAUGCGGUGGAGAGCAUUCAGAUCCGACGAGCAGAAACUGCUAGAUCGCGAAAACGAACGACCAGAGUCGCAAAUCACUGAGAGAGCUCGGUUUAGGCUCAGUUUUACUGUCCUUAAUGAGCAUCACCAUUGUGCCACACACGACAUAUAUCUAGAAAUAUUACAAUGUAAGGUAGGUUAAUAUUGGUCUUAGUUGUACAAAUUUUCUUUAGAUAGCGUCACUUGUAGGUCGCGUAACCAUGCAGUGAAGAGGCAUACAUGUACGAGGAUUUUAACAUUUUAUAGAUGACAUAUAUAACUUAAUUUAUUGGAAAAUUUUAUAGCACCAAUUGUAAAAAUAGUUGUGCCUGCCUAUUUGUGAUGUUGAUGCUACUCCUUAUUACUCCUUCCAUUUCAAAAUAAAUGACUCAAAGUCAAAGUUAGUACAAAGUUGAGUUAGUUAUUUUGAAAUAGAGGGAGUAGAAUUCACCAUCUUUGUUCCAAAUCUACAUCUAUUUUAAAAUGAGAAUAUAGAAGUGUGAAGAUGUCCAUGAAUCAUGCAUCCGAGAAAAAAGUUUGGCAUGGUAAUUGGAAGAUCACUUUGUAAAUACCAUCCGAGCAGUAAGUUUACUGCGCUAACCCACUGUCGACUUUAGUGCAUGGCUAGUUGCUAAUAGUUUUUGUGACAAAACCCUUGGUUCACUAGCGGAUAUUGCUAGAAGUAGUGUGAUGCUUCUAUGGUUUCCGGAUAAGCAUGAAAUUCAUUGCCUCGCAACUCAAGAUGAUUUAAGCAUUCUUGGAAUGGAUGGUGUGACAAGGAAACCCUACUUACCAACUCGGUCGGCCCAUGUGUGUUUAUAUGUAGAUGUGGCAAUCGCCCUCAUUUAUACCUUCCAUCCACCCAUGCCUCUCCAUCUAUUUAAACUUAAGGCUCCACAACACCACUAGUGCACUUGUAUCAUACUAUGUCACGACCACGAGACACUCGAGAGCGAGUAGAAUCUAGAGCCGUGGCCAAGAAGUCCACUGGCAACUAUCCCUCCUCAUGGUCUGCUUUGUGACGGCCGCCAAGACCGUGCCUACUGCACUAGUGGCACGUCAUUGCACUAGUGGCGCGUUGGACAAGAAGAAUGUCUUCAUGAGAAUGGUAGGCAUGCGGAACUUGUUGGAACCGUUGCAUGCACCCGCACCCACGAGAGCAACGGGGGGCGGCCCGAGUCCUGCAUCACCCACGCCUCCGCGCACGGCGCCUCCGUCCACAUAGCCACGCCCCGGCACCAUAUACGGUUCUGUUGUACCAGUAGGCUACCACUCCUUGUAUAUAUAAACCUGUAACUGUACGAUGAUCAUUACAUAGAGUUCAUCUAUCUUACUUGGUAUCAGAUUUUUUCGAUCCUUCUCUCUUCACCAUGAGCAUCCGUCACCCCCUUCGCCGGACUUGCUCGUUCGGGGACGCCGACUCCAUCUUCAUCCUCCCGGAAGUCGCCCCCAACCCUGCUCAGU